rnacentral:rRNA from 1 species
GCUUUACGCGUAAACUUAGAUAGUUUAAUAACGAAACUAUUCGCCAGAGAACUACUAGCCAGCGCUUAAAACUCAAAGGACUUGACGGUGUCCUAAGCCCAUCUAGAGGAGCCUGUCCUAUAACCGAUGAACCCCGAUACACCCCACCUCUUCUUGCCAAUACAGCCUAUAUACCGCCAUCGUCAGCCUACCCCAAUAGGGACCAAAAGUAAGCAAAAUCAUCAACCAUAAAAACGUUAGGUCAAGGUGUAGCAUAUGAAGAGGAAAGUGAUGGGCUACAUUUUCUAACAUAGAAAAUUACGGACUAUCUUAUGAAACCUAAGAUAUACGAAGGAGGAUUUAGCAGUAAAUUAAGAAUAGAGAGCUUAAUUGAAACAGGCAAUAGGACGCGU